GAUGAACGCUGACAGAAUGCUUAACACAUGCAAGUCUUUGGCGAAGCUGUGCUCGCACAGCCUAGCCAAGGCGGACGGGUGAGUAACGCGUAAGGAACUUGCCCUGCAGUCAGGGAUAACAGACGGAAACGACUGAUAAGACCUGGUAAAGUCAGGCGGACUCAUGUCCAGCCUGAUGAAAAGAGAUGCUGCAGGAGAGCCUUGCGUCCUAUUAGCUUGUUGGUGGGGUAACGGCCCACCAAGGCGAUGAUAGGUAGCCGGCCUGAGAGGGUGGACGGCCACAAGGGGACUGAGAUACGGCCCUCACUCCUACGGGAGGCAGCAGUGGGGAAUAUUGGACAAUGGGGGCAACCCUGAUCCAGCAAUUCUGCGUGCACGAUGAAGGUUUUCGGAUUGUAAAGUGCUUUCAGCAGGGAAGAAAAAAAUGACGGUACCUGCAGAAGAAGCGACGGCUAAAUACGUG
rnacentral:rRNA from 1 species